rnacentral:lncRNA from 1 species
GACAACAAGAAGAAAACGACAAGAAGAAAAGACUAGUAAGUUUCCGUAAAAUAUUGUUAAUUGGGUUUCUUUAAUUUUUCCCCUUAUUACAUUAAUUGUAAUGCCGUCAAUUUAAGAAAAAAUUUAAAUGGCAAUAAAUGAUAAAUUCCUCUGCUAUUUAAUUAACAUACAUAUAACAGAUUCCUUCUUCAUGUAAUUUAUGAUUUUUUUUUUUUUUUUGUAUUUUCCAGAGAAACAAGAUGAUCCAAACCAGGUCAGUCUGGUUCCCCAACAAACACAACAAAAAAAAGAGACGCCAAGAAGAAAACGACAAGAAGAAGUAGGGGGAAAGUGGCGAUUUGAGCACAGUUCAAGGUCAUCGGGAGGGAAUGGCGUUGUAAGACGCUCGAUGAUGUCCCAUCAAUACAUUGUGGGCAAAAUUCCAUCAUAGGAAGAUCCAACAUUGGAGCUCCCAACUUUGAAUUGGGGAAUAAAUCUAAUCAUCCAUACCUCGAUAAAACAAAUUUCAUUAAAGCAAUCUUCUCAGAUAAUAUGUUCGCGACUCUGAUAACGAGGCCAAGAAGAUUUGGAAAGUCUUUAAUUCUAUCUGCAAUGGAAGCCUUCCUCUGGGAUAAUAACCCGAACCCAAUUGAUUUUACUCAGUAUAACACAUUGAAGCAUCGGGAAUUUUUUAAUGAGCAUUACCGGAAAUACACGGUGCUUUAUUUGGAUUUCAGUCAUUUGCGCACUUUCGGAGAAUCGUCCUAUGAUAUGUCUGAUCACGUUGCAUACGUCUACCCCAACGAACAUGAAUAUCGCAGUCUCUGCGACGGGAACAUUUUUAGAUUCAUCCAGGAGAAGGGAGCCGUUUCCCUGACGGACAAAAUCGAUAAAGCCAUGGUGGUGAUGUCUGAUCACGUUUCAAUAGUCUUCCCUACCGAAGAGCAAUAUAGGAGUCUAACCGACGGGAAUAUUUUUGGUUUCCUGGAGCAGAACCGAGCUCUUUCCCUCACUAAAAUCGAUAAAGCCAUGGUGGUGGUAUUCCGUCCAUCACGACGACAUGUCCAAAUUUCUAGAUUUGGUCGCCGUACUUUAUCGGGCAGAAUGGGUGAACUGCCGAACAGGCUAUUUAAUGCAUAA